rnacentral:sRNA from 1 species
AUUCUCAGGAAGCUUCUUGAGGAGAAGUAGAUCCCACAGCUGCCUUUCCUUCAGAGAGAGGCCAGGAAACAUUUCGUGCAUCCUCUUCUGGCAUUAACAACAGAGAGCCACUGAGGGGCAUUGAAAGUCAUACUACGCCAUCUGCUGGAAGUUACCUGAGGAGCUACAGAAACUAUCAGAAUCCUAUGUCUCUGCUUGCAAUGAAAUUCCCGUAGAUCUAUUUUCACAGACUGAAUCAAUGACAGAACCUGUUAUUCAAAUGCACUAACCAGGCCCUGGGGAAGCCCAGUGGGCCCCGGAGUGAACAAAACCAAAACAGAGGACAUGGAAGAGGAAUGGAGACUUUGUGGAAAACAGAAAAUGGCCAACAGAGGCAGAGAUGCUGCUUAAGAUCUGGGGCGUUGGAGAAUGCCCCCUCCCCCCCACUAUACAGAAUCUAGCAUGCAAGGAGGUGGACGCUUGUCGGAUGUCAGGCAGUAGCUGGCCCAAGGUAAGAACGUGCUACAGGGAGAGGACUCACUUGCUACUGCUCCUAGGUCUAACUGUAAACCCUGUGCUCACUGCAGGAUGAGACCCCACAGUUAGAAAUGAUGAUUUGGGAA